rnacentral:lncRNA from 1 species
UUUGUAGACCAGGCUGGCCUUAAACUCAGAAAUCCGCCUGCUUCUGCCUCCCAAGUGCUGGGAUUAAAGGCAUGUGCCACCAUGCCAGCUUAUUAGAUACGUUCUUUAUUUACAUUUCGAAUGUUAUCCCCUUCCCUCUUUUCCCCUCUGAAAACUCUCUAUCCCCUUCCCCCUCCUCCUGCUCACCAACCUCCCACUCCUGCUUCCUUGUCCUGGCAUUCCCCUGCAUUGGAGCAUUGAGCCUUCUCAAGAUCAAGGGCCUCCUCCCAUUGAUGUCCCACAAGGUCACCUCUGUUACAUAUGCAGCUGGAGCCAUGGGUUCCUCCAUGUGUACUCUUUGGUUGGUGGUUUAGUCCCAGGGAGCUCUGGGGGUACUGGUUGGUUCAUAUUGUUGUUCCUCCUAUGGGACUGCAAACCCCUUCAGCUCCUUGGGUCCUUUCUCUAGUUCCAGCAUUGGGGACCCUGUGCUUAGUCCAAUGGUUGGCCGAGAGCAUGAACCUCUGUAUUUGUCAGGCAAUGGCAGAGCCUCUCAGGAGACAGCCAUAUCAGGCUCCUGUCAGCACCAAGACAACACUCACUAAAAUGAAGAAAAAUUUGCUAGUUUGUAACUUAGACACAGGCGGGAAUACCUUAUGAAAUUUUUUUCCUUAUUUCCUAUUUAUUCUGUUUAGAAUAGAUGGCGAAGAUGGCCAUGGUCUAGUCUCUCUUUUCUACUGUGGCAGAAGGCACAUCACAUAAAACUAAGCAUGUUAAUGAUUUUAAAAUCUACAGUUCAGUUUCACAAUGAGGUUCGACGUCCCCAAGGAAACUUCGUUCUCACCAGGUAGCCAUUCCCAACCUCUCCCCCUGACAAUCAUUAAUGAGUGUGCAAGCUCUCUGUGUUUGCCUCUUCUGAAUAUUUCAUGUAAAUGGAGUUAUGUAUGUAGCCUCUAGCUUCUUCACUUAGUGUGUGUGCUCAGGGUCCAUCCAUGUUUUAUACGUGCCAGAGUUCAUUCUGGUCUCGUACGCUACAUAGAAGCGGCAUGGAAACCCCUGCUUCCAUUUUUCAGAUGAUAAAAGCAAGGCUGUCCCUAUCUCGCUCUCCCAAGGCACUCCCACUUGGAAGUCAACUUUGUUCUCCCCGUUAAAGAUCCUUACAUAAAAAGUUCGAAGAACUAAUGAAAGAAAGGCGAUCCCUUUUCCAGUGUGGGAUUUUUCCAUACGUCGUCAUCUGUCAAUACUUCCUUUUCCUGCUCAGGAUACGUAUGUGAGGACUGAGCUUAUUAACUGGUAAGAAUUUAAGAUUUAAAGGCACGGUGGAAUUAAGUCUUAUCUGGCCUUAUAUUUCUAGUCCAACCCUACGGUUGCAAUAUUCACAUUGAGGUUAGGCGGAGAGACCGAGAAACCAUCUUCCAUGUCACUUUAGCAUCCUGUAACAAUGUUCACAUCGAGGCUUCUGUU